CUCUGGAUAGCUCAGUUGGUUAGAGCGUGGUGCCGAUAAUGCCAAGGUUACGGGUUUGAUCCCUUAUUGGGACA
rnacentral:tRNA from 1 species